rnacentral:tRNA from 3 species
AGAGAGAUGGCAGAGUGGUCGAAUGCGGCGGUCUUGAAAACCGUUGUAGGGUAACCUACCGGGGGUUCGAAUCCCUCUCUCUCUG